ensembl:miRNA
AAUACAGGGCUUCUAAUCAAAUUUGAAUUUCAGAUAAACAACAAAUAGUUUCAAUAUAAGCAUGUCUGUACAAUAUUUGGGACAUACUUAUGCUGAAAAUGAUUUGUAAUUUAUCUGAAAUUCAAAUUUAACUAAGCAUCCUGUGUUUU